rnacentral:rRNA from 1 species
AGAGUUUGAUCCUGGCUCAGAUUGAACGCUGGCGGCAUGCCUUACACAUGCAAGUCGAACGGCAGCACGGACUUCGGUCUGGUGGCGAGUGGCGAACGGGUGAGUAAUACAUCGGAACGUACCCUGUUGUGGGGGAUAACUAGUCGAAAGAUUAGCUAAUACCGCAUACGACCUGAGGGUGAAAGUGGGGGACCGUAAGGCCUCACGCAGCAGGAGCGGCCGAUGUCUGAUUAGCUAGUUGGUGGGGUAAAGGCCCACCAAGGCGACGAUCAGUAGCUGGUCUGAGAGGACGAUCAGCCACACUGGGACUGAGACACGGCCCAGACUCCUACGGGAGGCAGCAGUGGGGAAUUUUGGACAAUGGGGGCAACCCUGAUCCAGCAAUGCCGCGUGUGUGAAGAAGGCCUUCGGGUUGUAAAGCACUUUUGUCCGGAAAGAAAUCGCUUCGGUUAAUACCUGGGGUGGAUGACGGUACCGGAAGAAUAAGCACCGGCUAACUACGUGCCAGCAGCCGCGGUAAUACGUAGGGUGCGAGCGUUAAUCGGAAUUACUGGGCGUAAAGCGUGCGCAGGCGGUUUUGUAAGACAGGCGUGAAAUCCCCGAGCUCAACUUGGGAAUUGCGCUUGUGACUGCAAGGCUAGAGUAUGUCAGAGGGGGGUAGAAUUCCACGUGUAGCGGUGAAAUGCGU